rnacentral:rRNA from 1 species
GAUGAACGCUGGCGGCGUGCUUAACACAUGCAAGUCGAACGGAAAGGCCCAAGCUUGCUUGGGUGCUCGAGUGGCGAACGGGUGAGUAACACGUGGGUGAUCUGCCCUGCACUUUGGGAUAAGCCUGGGAAACUGGGUCUAAUACCGGAUAGGACCAUCGUUUAGUGUCGGUGGUGGAAAGUUUUUCGGUGUGGGAUGAGCUCGCGGCCUAUCAGCUUGUUGGUGGGGUAAUGGCCUACCAAGGCGUCGACGGGUAGCCGGCCUGAGAGGGUGUACGGCCACAUUGGGACUGAGAUACGGCCCAGACUCCUACGGGAGGCAGCAGUGGGGAAUACUGCACAAUGGGCGCAAGCCUGAUGCAGCGACGCCGCGUGGGGGAUGACGGCCUUCGGGUUGUAAACUCCUUUCGCCAAGGACGAAGCGUUUUGUGACGGUACUUGGAGAAGAAGCACCGGCUAACUACGUG